rnacentral:rRNA from 1 species
CCUACGGGAGGCAGCAGUGAGGAAUAUUGGUCAAUGGGCGCAAGCCUGAACCAGCCAAGUCGCGUGAGGGAUGACGGUCCUAUGGAUUGUAAACCUCUUUUGUCGGGGAGCAAGGCCCGCCACGUGUGGCGGGAAGGGGAGUACCCGAAGAAAAGGCAUCGGUUAAUUCCGUGCCAGCAGCCGCGGUAAUCCGGAGGAUGCGAGCGUUAUCCGGAUUUAUUGGGUUUAAAGGGUGCGUAGGCGGAAGGUUAAGUCAGCGGUAAAAUGUCGGUGCUCAACACCGGCCUGCGGUUGAAACUGGUCUGCGUGAGUGAGCGGGAAGAAUGCGGAAUGCGUGGUGAAGCGGUGAAAGGAA